rnacentral:rRNA from 1 species
UAUUGGACAAUGGGCGAAAGCCUGAUCCAGCAAUGCCGCGUGAGUGAUGAAGGCCUUAGGGUUGUAAAGCUCUUUUACCCGGGAUGAUAAUGACAGUACCGGGAGAAUAAGCUCCGGCUAACUCCGUGCCAGCAGCCGCGGUAAUACGGAGGGAGCUAGCGUUGUUCGGAAUUACUGGGCGUAAAGCGCACGUAGGCGGCUUUGUAAGUUAGAGGUGAAAGCCUGGAGCUCGACUCCAGAAUUGCCUUUGAUACUGCAUCGCUUGAAUCCAGGAGAGGUGAGUGGAAUUCCGAGUGUAGAGGUGAAAUUAGUAGAUAUUCGGAAGAACACCAGUGGCGAAGGCGGCUCACUGACUGGUAUUGACGCUGAGGUGCGAAA